GAUGAACGCUGGCGGCGUGCCUAAUACAUGCAAGUCGAGCGAACAGACGCGGAGCUUGCUCCUCUGACGUUAGCGGCGGACGUGUGAGUAACACGUGUAUAACCUACCUAUCAGACUGGGAUAACUUCGGGAAACCGGCGCUAAUACCGUAUAAUCUCUUGAUCCGCAUUAUUCGAUAGUGAAAGACGGUUUUGCUGUCACUUCUAGCUGGAUACGCGCCGCAUUAGCUAGUUGGUAAGGUAACGGCGUACGAAGGCAACGAUGCGUAGCCGAACUGAGAGAGUGAUCGGCCGCCUGGGAACUGAGACACGGUCCAGACUCCUACGGGAGGCAGCAGUAGGGAAUCUUCCGCAAUGGGCGAAAGCCUGACGGAGCAACGGCGAGUGAGUGAUGAAGGUCUUCGGAUCGUAAAACUCUGUUAUUAGGGAAGAACAAAUGUGUAAGUAACUAUGCACGUCUUGACGGUACCUAAUCAGAAAGCCACGGCUAACUACGUG
rnacentral:rRNA from 1 species